rnacentral:rRNA from 1 species
AUUGAACGCUGGCGGCAGGCUUAACACAUGCAAGUCGAACGAGUGGCGGACGGGUGAGUAAUGCUUGGGAAUCUAGCUGAUGGAGGGGGAUAAAUACGGGAAACUGUAGCUAAUACCGCGUACAAUCGGCUGAGCCCAAAGGGGAUUAGGUAGUUGGUGAGGUAAAGGCUCACCAAGCCGACGAUCUCUAGCUGGUCUGAGAGGAUGACCAGCCACAAGGGGACUGAGACACGGCCCAGACUCCUACGGGAGGCAGCAGUGGGGAAUAUUGCGCAGUGGGGGCAAGCUGAUGCAGCCAUGCCGCGUGUAUGAAGAAGGCCUUCGGGUUGUAAAGUUCUUUCGGUAGCGAGGCGUUAACUACAGAAGAAGCACCGGCUAACUCCGUGCCAGCAGCCGCGGUAAUAC